rnacentral:rRNA from 1 species
UACGGAGGGUGCAAGCGUUGUCCGGAAUCACUGGGCGUAAAGGGCGCGUAGGCGGCUCGGUAAGUAGGGGGUGAAAUCCUGCGGCUUAACCGCAGGGCUGCCUUCUAAACUGUCGAGCUUGAGCACGGUAGAGGCAGAUGGAAUUCCCGGUGUAGCGGUGGAAUGCGUAGAGAUCGGGAAGAACACCGGUGGCGAAGGCGGCGCUCUGGACCGAGACUGACGCUGAGGCGCGAAAGCGUGGGGAGCAAACAGG